GCCGGUGUAGCUCAGCGGUAGAGCAACGCUUUUGUAAAGCGUGGGCCAGGUGUUCGAAUCACCUCACCGGCU
rnacentral:tRNA from 3 species